GAAAAAUGUAGAUGUUUUGUUUGGAACACAUUAAAAUGUGUAGAUAUUUUCAAAAUCCUUUCCCCUUUUAAUCACACAGUUUUGGUCCAGUUUUGGUCCAUUCCAAACUUACCAUUUUUCCAAAAAAAUUUCCCCCAGCACACACGUACUCCUGUCAUGCUACAUUUUCAGAAGUCAGGUUCUUUUUUUAUUUCAGACUUUUAUAAGACAAACCAUCAGGAAAGUAAAAACCCUGUGAAGGCUUGUAUUGGGAUGGGAAGGUUGAUUUUGAAACUGAAGCAUAAGUGUACUAAAUAACUCUUUAUUAGGUUGACCUCAGCAAUCACCAGUAGCAACAUAUGUUGUUCAUCACAAAACUAAUCCAAAGAAAAGACAACAGUUCAUAAAUCAGAAAGCUGAGAGAUCCUAAACACUUGUAUAAAACAGAAGCUUUAAUCCUGUGGGUAAGUGUGCCAUCUAGUGUUGGAUAUUUUUUCAUUCAGGGAGGAAAAGCUUGAUUCGAUCAUUUGUGGUUAAAAUUCAUACAAGAAUUUAUUAGCAAUUUAUUCUUCUUUAUCUAUUGGGAAUGUUAUUUUUGACUCAUAUAUCACAUUCAUUUUAGAUGUAAGGCUAAAUUUAGCCAUCAUUUCUACCAUCCUAAACUAACAUGUAUAGCUCCCAGCACUGGAACAUCAAAUACUUUGUCUUAGCUUCAUAAAUGGAGUGGGAAAAAGGAAAUGUACUGCAGGCAAUUAGCAGUGGCCAAUGGAUAAGCAACACUGAGUUAGGAAGAUAUGUGGCCAAGACAGAUGUAGACUAACAUACUCUAUUAUUUCCCAUCUUAGUUUUCCUUCAAGGGUCUUAGGCAUAUUUAAAAGUUACUUUGAAUCAUCCUCAGAUAGUCAACCCCAUCAUAAGAGUAGUAUUCAUAUUGUCAUGGUGGAGUGUAAGAUCCUAGACACCUAAAUUAAAACUGAAGUCUUUACUCAAGGUCAGAUUGUCCUCAUUCUUUUCCGAGUAGAAUUUGUAAGAAUGGAGUUAGCUGAAGGAGAGGAAAUGUUACAUGGGGUCAGUAUGUUACAUGUUACAGGUUACAUGACCCCACAUUACAUGGGGUCAGUGGGGGAACAAUGCAUGCCUAGCAUUUCUAACUCUCAUGCUACUAUUGCAAAUCUACAAUAUUCUGGUGUAUUUCUUUAAGCCUCUGUUCCACUCUUGGAAUCAAGAGAUUGCAAUAGAAUCAGGAAAAAACAAGUUUUGGAUUCCAGGGAAACUGCAUUUCCCUUGAACUCCACCAGCAUUCAACUAGCAAUCACCAGCUCCACUCCCUCAGUGUUCCCAAUCCCAGCCCUAGGGAAUUGCCUCUCCAGAGUCCUAUGCAGCAAAGACAAUGACAUAAGAGACCAUGUCUUUUCAACACAGAGCGUGGAGAUCUAAACACAGAAUUUGCAGUGAUUGAAGAAGAAAGGAGGUAUGAACAAGAAUUCAGUUAUUAACCAGAUACCAAUAGGGGUUCUGAGUAAAGGACUUCAGGAUUAGGUCAGAAUGACUGAACACUGAAAUUUUAGUAAAUGCGCUAGCUGUUUGCUUGGUUUAUUUAUUAAAUGUUUCACUUAUUUUGUUACACAUUUAUCUGUAAGAUGCUUCUUUAAGUGUUUUAUUGUUAUAUAAUGGAAAGCUAGAGAUUGCUGAACCACAAAAUAAUUGAUUACUGAAUAUUUUCAUGGAGAAAAGUGACACACAUUGCACUAUGCUUUCUGUUCUUCAUGUUUUUGAAGAAUUUGGGGGUAUAUGUGAAAAUGUUCACAAAGCCCUAUGUAUACCAUAAAUUUUAGUACAAAUUAUUAUUCUACUGAAACAUAGCAUUGAAUAUUUGUUAUUUAUUAGCUGUUUAACAAGUUUUAGUCAUACAGGCAAGGAAAAGGAGGCACUAUAUAACUAAGUGCAGUACUGGGCACCACACUUCAACAAGAACGUGGUAAAGCUCAAUAGAGUCCAGAGAAGGGCCACCUGCGAGUUUAGAGACUUGCACGGCAAGCCAUACGAGGAAAGGCUGAGGGACCUGGAACCAAUGUUCCCUCUAAGGAGUAGUGGUCCAUGAGCAUGCCACCUUGGUCCAUGAGGCACGUGCGCACCUUAGAGGGAACCUUGCCUGGAACACUUCAGCCUGAAAAAGAGAAAUGAUAGCAGCUUACUGCUACAUCAGUGGUGUACAUCAAGGGCUUGGUGAACAACUGUUCACCAAGGCACCCUUGGGGAAAACCAGGAGUAAUGGCUAUAAACUCCUGGAAGACCGUUUCAGGCUCAAUAUUAGGAAAAACUUCCUCACAUCUAAGGUGUCCAGACUGUGGAAUAAGCUCCCACCAGGGGUGGUGCAAUCACCUCCCCUGGAAAUCUUCAAGAGGAGACUGGAUGGUCACCUCGCUGUGGUCACCUGACUCCAGUUGUCUUUCCUGCCUGGUGCAGGGGGCUAGGCCCGAUGAUCUUCCGAGGUCCCUUCCAGCCCCUUACAAUCUAUGAAUCUGAGUCUCUAGCAUUAAUGAACUGCAUGUGAGCUACUUGUAGUGUGAAAAUUAUUCAUCCAAAUGAUUUGUCAACACAAAUAAAUGCAUUCUCAAAACAUUAGACUUCAUUCAUAAGCAAUACAUUGAAAGAGGCAGUGGUCAGUGGCAUUGAACUGAACACUCUUAUACUUUGAAACCUCAGGUAUACCAGUGUUGUUGCCUAGGUCCCUCAUCAUUGUGAAAGUCACAUUCUCAGCAACAUCACAGACAAUACUGGAGCCUGUUCAAAAAUAUGGACACUCAUACAGCAGCAACUGCCAUUUUUUUUUUUAAUCAAGCUUUCUAGCAACCUUUCUGAAGCCAUCAAGCUGUGAAUCUACAAAAUCCUGAUUAUGUCAACUUGAUUGGACAGCAGUGGAAUGUGAGGAAGGCUGAAAAAAUGGUGACUUGAUGCUGUUGAUUUUUUUCAUUUUUGUCAGCCACUCCGUAUGAAGUGACAAGUUAGCACCAGCAACCGAUAUAAACAAACCCAGGAAACUUCCACCAGCGCUGGUUGGGUUCUGGCAGCUUUCUUGACACAGGCAUGUUAUUAGGAUGGAAGGUCAACUCUUAAAGACUGAAGCAUGUUUUACACAGACUGCAACCAUGUGAUUGGCGAUCUCCUAGUCCCAGAAGUUAUGGGCAAAAGGUCAUCAAUGAAACACCUAGAUUGAACAUCUAGCCCGACCAUCUUAAGGCCUACAACACUGAUAAUAACAUUCUUCCUCUCAGAAUUCAUUAAGCCCUUACAGUUCCUUUCAGCCCUCCAGAGCUUCUGAUUUAUACUUGUUCUGCAGCUUUAACUCCCAGUACCCUCUGGAGCAGGGAGCUCUGCCAGUUUUUAUCCUACCCCGGCUCUCUCUCGAGAGUUUUUCACCUGAUCUUCAGACUCAUGAACUUCAGGGGUGUCAUAGCUUUCCUGCAGAGAAGGGUUUAAGGCAGGCUUCCCUAGUUCACCAGCAUUCAGGCUCUGGUUCUGUUCAAUCUUCCCAGAACAAGGCUGUUUUUGAACAAGUAAGUUCUGCCAGACCCACUGCACUCUUUUGAAAAGCCUUCUCCAGGUCACUUUCUGGUAGAGAUGCUCCUGAAGUCUUCCUCUUGACUGAUGGGCUCUAUAGCCCCCUUUCCUCAAACUGGGUUUCAAAUCAGAUAGGGUUUCUCUACCCACUAGCACUUAGGUUCUAGUCCCCCGCUAAGGAGCCUCCCUUGAUCUCUAAGGUGACCAACUACUUGCCUUUGGUUCUGAGGACAUAACAUAACUCAAGGAGGGUUUCCUCAGCCCACCAGCAUCCAGGUGCUUAUUUUAUCAUCAGGAACCUCUCUCCUGACAUUAUUCCCCUUCCAGAUUUCAUUUAAUAGCUAGAUUGUUUCCUUUGCUUCAGAGCUUAUUACAAGAACCCAUCUGUUCCCCAUGGCUCUUCUAGAUCAUCUAAGCUCUUUCUAGCUUCAAUGAAGACAGAUGCUCUUCAAGUUAUCACCUGAACCUUAGAUCUGAAGUUUCAACUGGGAGGCAGCUGUUCACUCACAGGUGGGGGCUGAGCCCAUCUCAUCUUAAAAGGGUGAGUCACCCUGUGACUGCCAAAAUAUGGACUUGGAAGACUAGCUUCAGGAACCCAUUAAAAAAAAAGCCUUGACAGUAAACCUAUCUUUAAAAUGAGUACAGACAGCAACAAGGGAAUUGGAUGGAUGGAGAAUGAAAAGGUGUUUUCAGCAUGCAGGCUACAUCUUUUGAGGAAAAAGCAUAUUUUCUUCCUUAAUUUAAAUCAGAGAAGAGAUACAAAUCUUAAAUUUUCACUCACUCCAAAACAUAUUUUUGUUCAUUUUAACCUAUGAGUAUAUUUGUCACUUUCUGUAAACUAUUCAGUUUUUCUAAAUUUAGCAUGUGAAAAAUAUCACAGGGCUUGAUCUGUGAGAAGUUUCUCCAGGAAGGAGCAAAACAAAUGUUAAAUUCUAUUGAAGGCUGUUCUUUAAGUCACUCACGAGUUUGAGUCUGAGGCUGAAUGUAAUUGGAAACACUGGGUAGCACUGAGUUUGCAAUGAAAGUCUCUAGAUUUCAAAAAGUUCUUAGUAAAGCUGGGAAAGCAGCUAUACUAAUUGAAAUAUGCAGUCCCAUUCUCCUACUGGUAUAGGCAGGGAGCCCAAAUCAGUUCCUGAGUGGAUUGGAAGUUUUUAUGUAUCCAUUUCUCAGCAGUGAUCCAGUUGUGAGUUCAGUCCUCUCAAUAACCUGAAUGCCAAGUUCACGUAGGUGGUGCAGAGCAAUUUGCAGUCUACUCAAAGCAAAUAUUUUUUGAAGCAAGCUACAGCAGGACAACUCCUGAAGCAUCAUACCUCCUGUAGGAUGCCAGCUUUGCAGACUCUGAUGAACAGUAAGGAUAUAUGAGGAAUAUCAUAUCCACCCCCAAUUUUACCACUGCUGAUUGCAAAAGUAAUUCAAAGUGCAACUAAAAGAUUCAUUUCCCUGGUAUAUUAAUGUAGGUGUAAUAGAUAUAAACUAGCAGGGACAACUUUCUUAACAAUGAGGCUGAAAAGGAAGGAUCUUUUAAAUAAAUCUAGUCUAACUGAGCAGCUCUGUUUCCUCUGCUGAAUUGGUGACUCAGUGUGCUCGGCUACAUCCUUCCCAAAGAAAACAUUUGGACACUUUCCUUUUAGGAACUUAGGUCCAGAUCCAGAAAAGUACUUAAACACCUGAAUUCCAUUGACUUCAGUAAACCCCUUAAAUCUGAUGUAGGGUCCUAAGUACCUUUACAGAUGUGGAUCUUUGUGUUUGUAAAAGAUAUUGGACUGGCAAUCUGAGGUCUGGAUGACAAGGUCUUUCAAAGAGUAGACCUAGUGCAACACCAAGACAAGACUCUUCAUACUGCCCAUUGAAUAUGCCUGAAUACUUUAUUGCAGGGGCCAUCUGAAAUUUCAGUAAGCAGCAACUUCUUCAUGCCAUUUAGCCCUUUAAUUUUCUGCUGAGACUGCUGCAUAACAUGGAAGUAGAUUCUGUGAUAUGAAUAUUUGUCCACUGUAUACAGGAGUGAGACCACCAAAUAGCUACCCCAUAGCAACAGCCUUUAGUGACUAGGGCCAAAUUCUGUAUGGAUACAGAACUGCACUAAGGUCAGUGCAGUUCUGCAAGCACACUAUUUGGUGCACAGACUAGACUUACACUACUGAUAUAAAGGUGAAAAGUUUUGCACCCAUUUCCUGAGCCAUUUAAUCUCCUAAAACAGUAAGGCCAACCUUUUUGGUAGGUGUGACACACAUUAGCCCUGCACUCUCCCUGAGUGCGGCGUUGAUUCCUUUCCCCUGCCUUAUCUGCUGUUCUGCUUUCUGCUCCCUGGCCUAUUUGCUGUUAUGCUGCCUGGGGUGCUGCCUCCAUGAUCUGUCAUGUGCCACAAACAGGCUGCUCAUGUAACUUCUCACACACAUGACACAGGUUGAAACAAGCAUUUUAGAGUCAUACUUUUGUGGAGCUAUGUUUGUUCCUUUUAGUUUUUUUUUUUUUAUGUACUAUGCCCAUUCACACAGCAAAGUCUUCAAUUUACCUAUACAGUUUCAAAAUCACAUAUUUAAAUACCCACAAUAUCAUCCACUUGCCAUUUUUAUGCAUGGAUCCUUUAGGAAUCUGUAUUUAGAAGCAUAAGCCACCUUCCUCUGUCAAAGAGCCCUGAAGUUCCCUUUCAGUUUUUCUACUUUGAUUAAAGAGUGCUUUGUGUCCACUCCAUGACUAUCAUGCUUAAUGGCAUUGCAGUGAAAGAAAUGACACCUUACAGAAUUAGGACCCAGACUAGCAUCCCUUGGAGGCUGAGUUUCAGAUCAUUAUUUCUGCUGACACUGUGCAGCUGUUGCUGAAUAUUUUCUAGGAGCAACUUCGAUUUUUUUUGCCACAGAAGUCUUUAGCGGGAACAGGAAGGCAUGGCCUGUUGGAGCUGUGAUAUAACAGCAGUUGACAGGCAGGUUUCAGGGAACUCUCGGGGGCCAUGGCCUCUUUAGUGGUUUUACCACUCUAAACUCAAUUACAGUAAAGUUUCACGCUCCAAAGCAAACUCCAGUCCUUUUUUGAUAAAAACUCCACAAAGUAAAUAAGUCAUGAUGAUGAUAUGGGUCUACCAUUUAAUAUUCAUUGAAGUACAUAUGUUUGAAAAUUGGAAUCAGAGUUUAAUCCAUUUUCAUAUUUAUAUCAACAUGAAGCUUUAAAAAGGAUAUCUUCCCUUUUCUCAGAGAAUCUUGUCAAUUUCUGGACUGACAAGAUAAAUAAAGAUGUACAAAUCUCACUCGAAAUAUAAGGAGAGCACCCAAAGAGAUUUGAAGCAACAAAUUUUAAAGCACACAUCUUAAAUCUAUUUGUUUUCAAGUGGGAGCAGGUCUUUUCCUCCAGUUGUAGUUGGUGUGUGACUGGAAUAGCACAAAAUACUUUAAGAGCUUUGUAAUUCCUCAGAGUGUAUGCACAAUUUGAUUCUAGACCUAUCUGUAUCUGACUGUGUAGUACAUUGAUGGAGGAACUUAACAGGUUAAUAGCCUUUGGAGAGUGGAACUUCAUUGUCUUUGAGAAAGUUACAGUACUCUAUAUUUACACUAGUGCAAUGGUCAGUGAUAGGCCAUUGGUAAAAGUAAUACAGCCAGUGUAUAUAAAAUGACUGCACUGUCUAAAACAAAAUAUUAGACAUUUUUUGCGAGACAAAAUAGAAAGCAUUAAAUUAGGUCAUUUCUUUUCCUGAUUUGGAAAAGCUUAGAAAGUAUUCCAUUUAGAUCUUCAUAGCAUCCUUGCAGUUUUUAGUCAUCAUGUACAUAUAUUGCCAAGAGAAGCAGUAAGAAAGAUACAGCAAACUUUUCUUUGUAUGUGAGUUCUAUUUCAGAUCACUAAAAGAUAAAUGAGCCUGGUAAAAAAGAGUUAACAUAAUGAUGUAGUCUUUUAUUUGACUGAAUGUUUAAGCAUGGUGGUAUGGCUGAUGGCACCUUGUUUAAUAAUGCAGCACACAGCUUCCUAAGGGGACAGGGCUUGAUUUGAAAACUGAAUAUGGUGCACUCUAAAUUCUCUUCCCUGAGGAAGGCUGACUAACUGAUAAGUGCCAUGAGCUAGCGUAGGGACUGAUUCUGUCAAAUCAAGCUCAAAUGGAAGGCACAAUGUAGACUCUUCUCAAGUCUUAGUGAGGUAAUUUGAGCAGACAUUUGUGACAUUAGACAGUGCAUCAACUAUGGAAUGCUGUAAAAGUUCACUGUCUUACUACAAGGUGGUCUUUAGAAGACAGGAUAAAGAAAUCAGUGCAAAUUUGUUAAUGUAACAACUUGGAAAACCAUGCUAAAAAUGUAAUUCUAUUGGGAUAUGCAAAAAAAAAAAAAAAAUAGGGAAUAACUGGCAUUUGUGUACCUUUGUGAGACUUCUAUUAGGACUUCAUAUAUAGAGGACAUAAAAUAGGAGAACAUAAUCAAUGCAGUUUUUAGCUUUACAUUAUAUUCAUAUGUUCUGAUACCAAUUAAUUAGCAUACCUGUUUUUCCUGAGCUAAAUAAGUCCAGUAGACUGCUAGUGUGACAUUUAGAACCUUCAGAUUGAAAAUUCAUCCAAAAUCCUAAAAUGUGAGUCCACUAAUUCUACCAUGUAGCUAUUUCUCUUUUUUUGCUUGCUUGUUUUUUGAUUUGGGAAUGAAGAAAUAGCUCUUUAGUCUGGUGGUUUAUGAUCCUUGGGCCCUAACCUUCAUUCCUGCUAAAGUCAGAGUUUCAGGAUCAGGCUCUUUGUUACACAGACAGGCAGAGGAUCAUGUGAAUAUUUUACUUCAAUAAUUUUAAUCAAUGCAUUUAUCCUACUGUAUAAUUGGCCCAUCAUGCCAGGUAUUAAAGCUUUCUGUGAAAGACUUGAAACCCCCUGUGAUGUGUCAGUUGAAAUGAAAGAAGAUACUCAGCACCUCUCAGCAUACUGCAUGAUCAUACCCUGAUUUUUUUUAUUUUCUUGGUUAAAAUUGUGUUUGGCUCAGAAAAGGAACUUAUAUCUUUGAACUGAGCUUCAGCCCUCCAUAGAAUUAUAUUUUUAAGAAAAUGACAGAGUGAGCAUUUGUGAUUAUCUUUGUUGGCAUCUCACUUUUUUCUUUUUAAUUACAACUUAUUUUGUUAUCUAGGACUGCGUGAGAUGUUUAAACACAUUUUCCUCCAGGAGUGCUCUGUAGGAUGGUGGCAUUAAAAUAUAAUCUGUACUGUAUUUGAGAAAGGUCCUUUGUAUUACAGUACUUAAAACUAUUGAUGGUAUUCAAGGGAGUAUGUGACAGGGGGCCUCCUGGGGCCAAACUCUGUGGCCCGCCCACCUGUCACCGUGACAGCAGGCCUACUCAGGGCCGAGCUCUUCAUGGCCCGCCCACCUGCCUCUGGGCAACCGCCCGCUUAUCUCGCCCGCCACGCCUUUGAUGAUAAUUGAUUCAUAUAUCGAUGUCAAUUAAGCAGGAGGCUGCCCAUUGUAAUGCCCCGAUGCCAGGGGGGCGCUCUGCGGCUCUGACCUCCCCUAAUACCGCAGCCCAAGCCUCGCAGAUGGCAUCACGGUGUUCUCACAAUCACCGGCCCCAUACUGGGCCCCAGAAUCAUCCUAACAGGACCCCUCUCUGAUCCUUCCUCUCAGGCGGCCACUCCGCCGUCAACAGGGCUACCUCGCCCCCCCGAAGCCAUGUUCCCCUCUCAGGUGUGGUUCCCCCAGAACCUUCGGCUACCUGGCCCUGGCCCACCUCAAGGCCAGUCGGGGACCCCAGGCCCCCGGCUCUUGGGCGUCCCUCGCAGUGGGCCCCCGGCCCUUUUGACCCUCUCUGGUCCUGGCCCCAGCAUGGGCCAGUCGAGGGUACUAUCCCCUUCGGGCUGGGUCUCUAGCCCCUCUCUCUCAUCCUUGGGCCUCACCGUGCCACUACUCCCUUCCUCCUAGGAGCAACCGCAGCACCACGCCCUGUACACAAUGCACUCUCAGGGUCCGCCCUCUCUGGGCCCCUUACAAACACUGCCCUCUAGGCCCUCCAACAUACGCAUGGGUAACCCACCCGGUGGUGGUGGGAGCUAGGGGUUAAGGCACCCCAACCCACCUUUCACCGGGGUGAUAACUGGCCUGGCACUUCCUGGGGGCUCCCGCGCCACUGAGAGCCCCACCAGACCACCCACUCCCGGCAGGGUGCAGUUUCAGGUCAUGCCCAGGACCAGGAGCCUCCUGCCAACCCCUUGCAGCUCCCCCUUACUUCCGGGUCGUUCACAGCAGCCCUACGGCCAGGCGGUGUUACUGCCUGCCCUCCUGCAGCCAAACUGCCUUGUUUAAAUAUGCAGCCUAAGCCUCAAAACGGCUGCCCUAAUCAGGCACCUGGAGGCUGCCAGCUCCAGGCCCUUAAAGUGGCAGAGACACCCUGUGCUCUGCCACAGAGUACAUUAAUAAUCUUAAUUUAUGAACUGUAGGUGUGAUUUUCAAAAGUGCUGAUCAUCAGCCUAACUCUGCUCAGCCUGUCUCACAUCAGUGGUAGCAUAGGCUGCCUAUACACAUGCUCUGAUGCAUUCUAAUUAGAAUGCUUUAGCAACGCCACAGCAUUAAGUCUGUGUUUCAAAAUAACUGUAGGGGCACUUUAAUGAAAACUCAUCAAAUGAUCUUUAGUUAAACCAUCCCACAGCCAUCUUUAAAUGAACAGGGGCUUAAUGCAUGUGACGCUGCAGCAUUUUAAUUAGAGGAGCUCUCCAGGAACCAUUCCAAUUAAAAUGCCUUCCCCCAGCCCCCCACCUCUGAGCAUGUGUAUAUUGCCAUAUUGCCUUUUCUCUCAAAGAAACCUAGGAGCAUACUCUCAGCCUUUCUAUGCUGUUAGAGGGUUAGUGAAUUUCCUUCAUAGACCUUCUCAUUUUAAAAACUGGAAUCUUAAAACUCUUAUAAGCAUGUAUCCCUUAUAACGAAAUCUAUUCCUUUCCCUUCUGAUGCUCCUGAUCUCUGUUCACUCAGGGGAUAAGAUGGUCAUGAGAUCACAUACUCCCUUCAAGAGCACGGCAGAUCCCUGUAUCUAGAUCUUCCGUAACCAUUCUGCUAACCACUGCUUCUUACCUUAAUGCAGAGACACUAGGGAAAAGAAAUGAUCAGCAAGAUGAAUCAAGCCAUUAAAGAUCUAGUCUGCAAUAUCUAUAGCACUGAUAUUCCUGGAUAGCAAACUGGAUGGUAAGGAAAAGAAAGUGGUAUAAUGAAAAGAAGUAUGGUGAGUCACAUCAGAUAAUUUUAAUGAUAUACUGCAAAACAGAUCAGGAUAUAUAUGUAUAUAUAGUCCAUUAAUUUCAUUUAAUGAGAAUAGUUUGGCUGUCAAAGCAUUUUCAAGAUUUCCAUGGGUUAACUGAAUACUGUAUGAUCAAAUCAUUGCUCUCAGAAAAGCUACAAUUAAAACACAUUGAUUUAUGUGUCUUGCUGCAAAGUCUCAGGAUUCGCUGACCACCUCUUACUGCUUUCCCCAAGUUUUUAUGCCAUGAAAACUGAAAUAAUUUUAUCCCUAUAGGAUCAAGGGAAAAAGAGGACAUCCCUCUGUGAAGGAAGUUAGAGAAAUAAUGUAGGAGGGUAUCUGGCAAAAUAGAAAGAGUGAGGAAAUCUGUAAUGCUUCCCAGUAAAAAGGGCUACACAGGAGAACAUAGCCUCAUCCUUCCUGGAGCUCAGGUUAUCCCCAUAAUGCUCUCAGGCAGCGUGAAUAAGCUUGUAGACAUCCUGAGGUCUUGAGUACAAAACAGCAUUGUCUGAGCUUGGAAAUACACAGGUCCUAAAAAAAACAAUAUGCAAAGACCCAGUAUUUAAACCCCUAAAAACUUUCCUGCACAAUUUACACCUGGGGCAGUGUUUACACAUGCAUUUGGGUGCAGUUAUUUUCACUGCUAUAAGAUAGUACUGUCCCUGAUAGUACUAUCUUAUGGCGGUGAAAAUUAGUUUGCUGCAGUUUAAUAGCAUCACAUGUGUAGACUGAUGCUUUACAUGGCAACACAUCAAUUUACUGUGCAGUUAAGCACAUGUAUAGAUGUACCCAGUAAAUAUUCUGAUGGGCAUCAAAGCUUGUAAGUAAAUGACAGCUGGUUGCAAACAAAUCUCUAGUCUUUGGUUUGUUGAAAUUCAUUGCCUUUGAGUAAGGCAUAACAGAGGGCCAAUGUUAACAUUCACAUUUAAAGGUAAAGGUAAAGGUUACAUUUAAGGUAAGUCUACUACUGAAGUGCUGCAAAAAAGACUGUAAAUCAUCCCAUUACCCAGUAUCAGAACUUUUAGUGUCUUUUGGUGGCAUCUGGAAGAUGUAGCAUUCCAAUUGUGAUGAUUAAAUCUAAAUAUUGUUGAACACCUCUCUAAAAUAUUAUUUUGUAAAUAGAUUACUUCAUGCCCCUGGAAAUGAACUGUGUCUCUCUGAAGUAAGUGACAUUAUAUAUUAUGGAAUAAUAUGAAUUAUUAGAUAAAAUAAGCAACUGAGGCAUAAUAAGGCAUAUUGGUAAGAAACUAAUUUAUAAUUUAUUUUGGACAAUUCCUGAACACUUUAACGAUGAAUAUGAAGAACCCCCUUCCUUUCAGUAUGCUGCAAGGUAUGAAAUAUCAUAUGGUUAGGUGGAAUUUUAAGACUCCAAGGCUAGAAAUGAUAAUUAAUAUUGUAUACAAUGAACUUGAUUUGUUUUUCCCUAUACCCAUUGAUGCCUUAUUGCAGAACAGGAACACACCCACUGGAGAUGAUAUGCAAUGAUGUUAAGGCUGCUCUCCACAAAAGAGCACAGGAGGACUAUUUUGAAUCCUGACCACUUCAUAAUCCCUUCUGGGCCUAUGCUGGCCCAUUCUAAUUUUGCUAUAGCAAAAGGUUGCCGGUGCUUUGUGAUGCUCUAACUUGCUUCAUGAAGCCUUUUCUCUACAGAUCAGUCCAGAUGAUCACAUCAGUCCCUUCUGGCUUUAGAAUCCAUGAAACCUAAAGUAAGACUCGCCUCCUUGACUACAGUACCUUUAUCACAUCCAGUGGCGGACCAACAGGGGUGGGGACAUAACCCCCGGGCAUCAGCCGGCCGGGGGGGGCACUGACUGGGCCCUUCAUAGUUCUUAGCAUUGACCCACAGGCACCGGAGACCCACAGUACAUCACUGAUCACAUCUCAUAGGUAGGAGUAAACUACAGAGGGAAUAAUGGGCUCAUAAUCUUUUUCUUCCUGUUUUCAGGUACUGGUUUGAAAACAGAUGGUCCGCUGAGCACUGAAAGUGCUGAAGAAAUUCAAUUGUGUAGAGAGGGAGAAAAAUCAACCUGAGCUUAGGAAACUUAAAACAAAAUGUUUUGCAAACUUGUGGUUCUGGAUGAGAAUGACUUUCAACCUCAGUGCCAACAACUGCAAAGAGUAAAUCAGGUAGCAACUGGUCUCAGCUGAAGUCAACAGUGAUUCCUGCUGGCAUUGCAAAGCUCCCUUUAAUUCACAUGGGGCUUAAAAAGCACUGAGAUGGCAGAGAUUGUUGUGGCAGAAGCAACUGGAAAAUGUCUUGAGAUUGAAACACAGACAUAUUAACAUCACCCUUGUGGACGCUAAUGACUUGCACUUGAAAAUGCCAGAGGCUCAUACUGCCAGCUAAAACAAAGAAAAAACACAUUUUUAGUCUCCAAAGACCUUAGAUCUUUCCAAACUCUCAGGGCAAAUUCAGCCAUAAUGUAUUUUUGCAGUAGAGCAGGGCAGCUCAUGCAUGCCACUGGGGGAAUCAUUGCCCGGAGUUGCUGUAGGCUGUGUAGUCAGUAUAGCUAAAUAAAACAGCAGCUGAAAACCUUGGAGAGGUUAAACUAGUAAUGAUGCAUUCUAUAAUGCAAUGCAAUCAAACCUAAAUAGUUUCAAGGCAAGAGGCUUAUCUUACUGACAUGAGGCAGCCCUCCUCUUUCUCCCUGGAAUGUAUUAAGUAGCCAAACAAACUAACAAAGGGAUUUCUAAAUGAGCUUUGCAAUUUACAUUGACAGAUGAUUAGAAAAAUGUUUUUAAUCUUUUGAUAAAUUAAUAGUGUCUCCUGUGGACAUUUCCAGAAGACGAAUAAUAAAAAGAGGCAGAGUGGCAACAACAUUUCAGAGGCUUUCUACAAUUGUAAAUGUUUAAAGAGCUCUAUUCAGUAGAGAUGUAGGAAGAGACAGAAAGAGAAAGCAAUCAUAGAAUGUGGUUAUGGACAGCAGAGUAAUGGAAAUCCAAGAUCUGGAGCAAAAGGAAAAAGAUUGGGUUGAGUGGGAAGAGAGAAUUAGGGCUAAGAAAAAUUGUGGAGGCUAAAAUUACCCCUCAAGUGAUGAAUUUUGUUUAAGAAACUCAAAAAAUGGUUGUCAAGGAAUGAAAUGGGUUUGCUCCCUUACCCUCUUCUUCAUAAUGUCUGCAGAAAACCUGGAAGAGUUUAAAAAGUAAAAUUAAAGUAGCUACCUUUUGUGUGUGUGUGUGUGUUUUAUAUUAGAGAAAUACAAGCCAUGUCUACUGUGUUAUUCUGAAAACACUUUAUGGAUGCCUAGACAACUGUAGCAAACCCCCCAGAUUUUUCUUUUUUUUUUUUUUUUUUACUUAAAAAUACAUUCCCUCCCCUUCCCCAACCAUUUCUGACUCUUUCUCUGCCCCCUCUAUCCCUUAUAAGUAGUUAUAGGUAGUCAUGGGUAAGCUAAGUUCUUGUAUGCCAUUAUUGUAACAAGCCCCUUUUUAUAUUGUAAAUAGUGUUCUGUUAUUUUUGUAUUGAUUUUUGCUGUUUUAUAUUGUAUUCUUAUUAUGUUUGUAUUGAAUGUUACUGUUUUAUAUUGAUAUUGUAUAAUUUAGGCCUGUUUUUGUAAAGUUAGCCAAAGUAAUGUCAAGUCUCCAUCUUCUAAUGUCAAAUCUCCAUUUUGUGUCCCCUGCCCAGGCAUACCCUAUUGUAAUUGUGUUGUAACUGUGACUCAUACCUACCCCUCCUAUGUAAAUUGGUUCCACGAUGAAUAAGAGUGAAUGAGGGUGCUUGAGACAUGUGAGAGGGGAGACAAUAGUCCCCCCAGCGUGGCCCAGACCCCUAAUCAGAACACCACGGCACUCACCACAGGAGCAGAGAUGGGUGGCAGUGGGGAGAAGACCGGAGCAUGGACACAGGCACAGGCGCAGGCUUGGCAGUUUCGCAGCUGCCUGAGCCUAAGUAUUGAAGAGAGCUGGAGAUAUGGCUUCCAAGCAGUGCGGGCUGCUCAAAAGGUGGCUGGGGAAACAGCGGGCGGCGAGCCGGGGAGAGAGGGGCGGAACACCAGCUGGGAGAUGCCAACUCCAGAGCUGGGAGGCUCCAGCUCUAGCCCCAGCUCCCCCGAGAAGGGGUCAGCUGUCUACCGGGAGACCCCAACCAGCAAGGCAGAAGGCAGACUCGGGGGUUGGCAGGAGCCAAGGAGCCCCACAGAAAGGCAGCAAUCAGAUGAGACACCACUGGGGAGUGGCAGGGCUCCAACUAGGAGCUCCGGAGCCAUGGCUGAGGGCAGACCCUCAAGCCCUCAACCAUCCUCGGACGGCUCCAGAGGGGGCAGAGCAUGGGGAACCAUGAGCCCCCUAAAGGGGGAGAGGAGUGAUGCCAGCAAGAGGGACCAGGAUGACAGGACCUCAGGUCAGCCGGGCUCCAGGUCGGGGACGCCAGAAGAACUGUUAGGGGCAGGGCACAAGGGUGUCCCCAGUACCCCCACCAGUUAGAGGAGAGAGGACAAAAAAGCCCCCCUGGGGGGGAGGGAUAGAAAGGAGCCCCAAGAGAAGAAAGAGAGAGAGACAGACAGACAGACAGACAGACAAUCUCGGGAGCUCCACUGGCAGGCGCUGGCAUUUUCAGUUGAGUUAUAGGUGACCCCAGCAGGGGCAAGUUUAUUUUCUUGAAGAGGGGAAAACCAGCCCAAAGACCAAGGGCAAAACCCUGAAGGCCCUCGGCCCAGAAGACCCAGCCCUUGCAAGGCAGGCAGAAUGGGGAAGAUCUGCGGGGAGCAGCAUCAACCCAGGCUGAAGGUGUUGUAAGGGUGGGGUAAAGGGGAGGUUUGGAGCCCCACAAAGACACCCCCAGGGUUGAGAUCCCUCUGGGCCCCCAACGGGGAACUGCCUCCCAACAAAUAACACUGAAGAUGUGGCAGGAGAGAAAAAGGGGCAGCGCCCAAAUCAUCUAGGUGGCACCGGAAUAGGGCUUCACCCUGACGUGGCUGGGGGGCAAGGCACCAAUGAAGAGGUCACCAAAGCCUUACAACAUCUACCAGUGACAAGACAUAAUGGUAGCAGGCCUAAAAAUAGCUCCUACUGAAUGACCGGGCCAUCAACUUAACAACCGGACCAUCCACUUAAUGACCAGACCAUCAGCUUAAUGACCAGACCACCGCCUUGCAUUGACUCUCCCUGAAACCACAGACCUAUUCCCAGGACCAGAAACAAAACCCAAUAUUUGAAAGAUAAAGACCCUCUAAGAAACCAGCAACAUAGAAACAGAACAGAAUAGAAACCAGCAACUCCACCAUUGUAUCCCACUGGACAAUGAGGACACCUAGAACUGCAUGACCUCAUCUGAGCAAGACUAGUCCUUGCCUGGGCAUGUCCUUCCCACUGGAGUCACAGGUAGCCCACCCCUAUAAAAGGGGUGGUAGAGUGUGACCUCUUUGGGACGCCCUCUCCAUCUGGACCAGCACUACACCACAUCACCUAUCCACCCAGAGGCCCUGCCAGUGACCCUCUUUGGACAACACCUCACUGGAGAAGACUUUGACUGGCCAUUGAGGAUGAACUCACAGCCUGGAUAGGUAGCUAUCGCCCCCCUUCUUCCCCCAAGCAAGGGACCUGACCUCUGUCUCUGCACACCUUGACCUCAAUCCCUCCAUUAAGCCUUUCCUUUCCUGCUACCACUGUGUGAGUAUGUGGGAGAAUUUGUGUGUGUGUGUGGGAACCAAUAACUUCAUGGGCUGUAUAGUGUGUUGCCUGUUUAAUAAAACUGUUAUUUUG